GUGCUCGCUUCGGCAGCACAUAUAAUAAGGUUGGAGUGAUACAGAGAAGAUUAGCAUGGCCCCUGCGCCAGGAUGACACGCAAAUUCAUGAAGCGUUCCAUUUUUUU
rnacentral:snRNA from 1 species